CGUUACUGUUUACCGCGUCCUGCGCGACGAGACAACCGCGAAUUUGAUAAAACAGGUCACCCUGAUAAAAAAGUACGCGAUUCUAGCCGGGCGACAUUUAUAAAUAAUUACGAUUCCUAAGCGAGAUUAUUUUUCGACGAAAGUGCUCGGCCAGUGAUGGGCCGCGCACGAGUCCUAUCGUUUGUGCUUCAUUCGCAAUAUCAUUUUUACGAACUUGAUGAGACACGUUUCUACGGUUUGUGAAGAAAAAUCGUGAAGAUAUUUCGUUACAUUGUUUCCAGAAACGCUGGAUUGAUUAUAAGAAGCGACCUUAAACAAGAAAGACAUCGUAGAAGCAUCGUACGAACGAACGCUUUUAAGACCUACGCACAGAGACAAUAGGAAAACGUGCUCGUGGUUGAACACCCACGUUAUAACAACAAACAUGAUUGCGCCGCGGAAAAUUACCGUUUCGCAUGCGAAUAAAAACGAAAAGUAAAACGAAGCUCCAUCGAAUUCCGUCGAGUGGUCUAAUAAUUGCGGGCGAACAAUAAUAACAAUGGUUUGCAUGUAAGUAAAUAAUCGGCGCAAAGAACGAACGCGCGAAUCUCCCGGUGUCGGCGAACGCGACGUUUCAUUGUUAUCGUGCUACCGGGAAUGGAACAAGGUUGUGUGACAACGUGAACCGUUUAUGUGCGCACACUAUCGACACAUAUCGAUAGGACGGUGUCGUCCACGCGGCGUUUUCCGAUGCAAGUUAUUGGCAGGAACGUCGGAACGCGUCAAUGAAUGCGUUAAACAAGCGAUUUCUAGACUCGAAAUGUCAGGGACCAAAUGGAACAUUAUUAUUACACCGGCAAAACUUUUUCUAUAAAUUCUAUGAAUCCAGUAAACAGUUGCUAACGUAGCAGUAAUAUCGAAUAAAAAUAAAACGAAGUCCA